GACAGAGGGUGCAAACGUUGUUCGGAUUUACUGGGCGUAAAGCGCGUGUAGGCGGCUUUGCAAGUCGGAUGUGAAAUCCCACGGCUCAACCGUGGAAGUGCAUCCGAAACUGCAUCGCUGGAGUCUCGGAGAGGAAGGUGGAAUGCUUGGUGUAGAGGUGAAAUUCGUAGAUAUCAAGCAGAACACCUGCGGCGAAGGCGGCCUUCCUGGACGAUGACUGACGCUGAGACGCGAAAGCGUGGGGAGCAAACAGG
rnacentral:rRNA from 1 species